AUGACACUUGAGCUGAGCAAAUCUUGAAGCGAGGGUACAGGUUCUCAGUCGAAGAGCUAAAUUAAGCCGGUGACAGGGGGAGUGGGGAGAGGCCAGAGAGACAAGGAUGGAGAACCCGGAGAACCUGACUCACCUGGCAAGUGGUUGAGACUCGCAGGGAAUUACCAGAAAACAAAGUAAGACCAAGAAUACAAACACCACACCAAGUCAAGAUAGCACUUGGAGGCAGACUUUACGGGACAGCUUUGGCUGACAGCACUUACCACCCUGCAUCUUAUAUGUGACCUUUAUCAGAUACCGCAGAACUCACCUGGCUGACACCCAACCAGGGUCUGUUCUGUACCAGGGCACCCAGGUCUCUACCCUGUGGGUGAGCAUCCUGCCCAUGCAGCAGACUGCUGAGGAUGCUUCCCCUCACCCACACACUCGCCAUGCUGGGUGCUCUUCAUGCCUUCCUGGGGAUCCAAGCUCCUGUCUGGUGUCACCUUCCUUCAGCCUGAAGAACUUCCGUGAGCACGUCUUGGAGCACAGGCCUGCCAGUGACAGAUACUGUUUUCUUUUCUCUGAAAAUGUCUUUAUUCCACUUUUAUUCUGGAACGCUAGUUUCUCUGGAUAUAAAAUCCUGGGUUGAUGAGGGUUUUUUUUUUUUUUCUUUCUCCCCCCACCCCCUUUCAGUACUUGAAAGAUGUUCUACUGUUUUCUGGUCUCCAUUGUUUCAAUGAGAAGUCAGAGAACUUUUGAAUCAUUGUUUUCCUGUAUAUAAAGAGUGACAUUUUGCUCUGGCUGCUUUCUGAUUUUUUUGUCUUUGGUGCUUCACAGUUUGACUAUCAUGU